UACGGGGGGUGCGAGCGUUGUCCGGAAUCACUGGGCGUAAAGGGCGCGUAGGUGGCCUGAUAAGGGUGUGGUGAAAGUCCGGGGCUUAACCCCGGAUCUGCCGUGCCGACUGUUAGGCUAGAGUGCUGUAGGGGCAGGCGGAAUUCCGGGUGUAGCGGUGGAAUGCGUAGAGAUCCGGAGGAAGACCGGUGGCGAAGGCGGCCUGCUGGGCAGUAACUGACGCUGAGGAGCGAAAGCGUGGGGAGCGAACAGGAUU
rnacentral:rRNA from 1 species